UAUGCAAAAAGUUUGCUCGCAUGGCUUCCAGGGCAGUGGACUUUGAUGAAUCUUAUUUCUUACUAGAUAGUUCACUUGAUUCAAUGAACAAAACCAUAGAAGCGAAGAUACAAGAAAUUUUCAAGCCAGAAGAAUCCCCUGAGGACAGUUCGCCAGUGCCACAGGAAAUCUUGGAGAGUAGAGUGGCUGGUUUAAAAAAAAGAGAAGGCCAAAAAAGUAGUAAGAGACCAAAGGAUUGGGUUGAAUUAAUGCAAGAAAAAGCUAAAAAGAAAGGGAAAAAACAGGCCAAGUCAACGCAAGGGAAAUCCAAAAAAAGAAAGAAAGGUGGAGCAGACACAAAGGAGGGUCCAAGUGCUGAAGUACAAUACUACAAAAAUAAUGGUGUCGAGGUACCAAUAGAUAUCUUGUGGAUGAACGAAAAUGGAAAUGCUACUGGCUUCACGGAAUCGUUGUUGGUAAGAUAUCAAGUUUAUGUACGAUAAAACUUGACAACAUUAAA